rnacentral:rRNA from 1 species
UACAGAGGUCCCGAGCGUUGUUCGGAUUUAUUGGGCGUAAAAGGCUUGUAGGUGGCCACGUCAAGUCGGAUGUGAAAUCUCCCGGCUCAACUGGGAGGGGUCAUUCGAUACUGGCGGGCUCGAGGCCGGUAGGGGGAAGCGGAAUUCCCGGUGUAGUGGUGGAAUGCGUAGAUAUCGGGAGGAACACCAGUGGCGAAGGCGGCUUCCUGGACCGGUUCUGACACUGAGGAGCGAAAGCGUGGGGAGCGAGCCGG